AUUGAACGCUGGCGGCAGGCCUAACACAUGCAAGUCGAACGAGUGGCGGACGGGUGAGUAAUGUCUGGGAAACUGCCUGAUGGAGGGGGAUAACUACUGGACACGGUAGCUAAUACCGCAUACCAUCGGAUGUGCCCAGAUGGGAUUAGCUAGUAGGUGGGGUAAAGGCUCACCUAGGCGACGAUCCCUAGCUGGUCUGAGAGGAUGACCAGCCACACUGGAACUGAGACACGGUCCAGACUCCGACGGGAGGCAGGAUUGGGGAAUAUUGCACAAUGGGCGAAAGCCUGAUGCAGCCAUGCCGCGUGUAUGAAGAAGGCCUUCGGGUUGUAAAGUACUUUCAGCGUGGUGUCGUUACCCGCAGAAGAAGCACCGGAUAACUCCGUGCCAGCAGCCGCGGUAAUUC
rnacentral:rRNA from 1 species